rnacentral:rRNA from 1 species
GGGCCCGCACAAGCGGUGGAGCAUGCGGUUUAAUUCGAUAAUCCGCGAGGAACCUUACCAACCUUUGACAUAUUUGUCGCGAGUGUAGAGAUACACUUUUCAUCUAGGAUGGACAUUUACAGGGUUGCAUGGUCGUCGUCAGCUCGUGUCGUGAGAUGUUGGGUUAAUGUCCCGCAACGAGCGCAACCCCUUUCUUUAUUUGCCAUCAGGUUAUGCUGGGGAACUAUAAAGAUACUGCCGGUGUUAAACCGGAGGAAGGCGGGGACGAUGUCAGAUCAUCAUGGCCUUUAUAGGUUGGGGCUACACGUGUGCUACAAUGGCGUCUACAACGGGUUGCGAUUCAGUAAUGAU